rnacentral:rRNA from 1 species
GGUUCGAUCAUGGCUCAGAUUGAACGCUGGCGGGAUGCUUUACACAUGCAAGUCGAACGGCAGCACGGACUUCGGUCUGGGUGGCGAGUGCGGCGAACGGGUGAGUAAUGUAUCGGAACGUGCCUAGUAGCGGGGGAUAACUACGCGAAAGCGUAGCUAAUACCGCAUAAUACCCUGGGGAAAAGCGGGGGGACCUUUCGGGCCUGCACUAUUAGAGCGGCCGAUAUCGGAUUAGCUAGUUGGUGGGGUAACGGCUCACCAUGACGAUCCGCAGUUGGUUUGAGGACGACCAGCCACACUGGGAUCUGAGACAUCGGGCUCCAGACUCCACGGGAGGCAGUAGGGUAAUUUUGGACAAUGGGGAAACCCUGAUCCAGCCAUCCCGCGUGUGCGAUGAAGGCCUUCGGGUUGUGGAAAAUAGCAGAACGGCACGGGAUAAUACCCGUGCAAACUGAUUGUGUACUCGCAGAAUAAGCAUUCAUAAUUCACAAAGCAGCAGCCGCGGUAAUAUGUAGGGUGCAAGCGUUAAUCGAAUACUGGCGUAAGCGUGCGCAGGCGGUUCAAGAAAGAUGAACCAGAGCUUGAAUCUCGAAUCCAUUUAACUACCGAGUCAGAGUGUGUCGAGGGAGGUGGAAUUCCGCGUGUAGCAGUGAAUGUAGAUAUGCGGAGGAACACUGAUGGCGAAGGCAGCUUCCGGGAUACCACUGGACGCUCAUGCACGAGCGUGGGGAGCAAAACAGGAUAUCGAUACUCCUGGUAGUCCACGCCCUAAACGAUGUCAACUAGCUGUUGGGGCCUUCGGGCUCGGUAGCGCAGCUAACGGGUGAAGUUGACCGCCUGGGGAGUACGGUCGCAAGAUUAAAAACUCAAAGGAAUUGACGGGGACCCGCACAAGCAGGUGGAUGAUGUGGAUUAAUUCGAUGCAAUGAAAAACCUACCUACCCUUGACAGUUCAAACUUGCAGAUUUGGGAGUGCUCGCAAGAGAACCGGAACACAGGUGCUGCAUGGCUGUCGUCAGCUCGUGUCGUGAGAGGUGCCGUUGGGUUAAGUCCCGCAACGAGCGCAACCCUGGUCAUUUAGUUGCUGCUGAAAGGGCACUCUGACGACUGCUGGUGACAAACCGGAGGAAGGUGGGAGACGUCAAGUCCUCAUGGCCCUGGCGGUAGGGCUCACACGUCAUACAAUGGUCGGGACAGAGGUCGCCAACCUGCGAGGGGGAGCCAAUCCCAGAAACCCGAUCGUAGUCCGAUCGCAGUCUGCAACUCGACUGCGUGAAGUCGGAAUCGCUAGCGUAAUCAGAUCAGCAUGUCGUGGUGAAUACGUUCCCGGGUCUUGUACACACCGCCCGUCACACCAUGGGAGUGGGUUUACCAGGAAGUAGUUAGCCUAACCGUAAGGAGGGCGAUUACCACGGUAGGAUUCAUGACUGGGGUGAAGUCGUAACAAGGUAG